CCCUGCCCUGCCAGGGGCUGUGCUGUGCUUCUGGAGGAAUUUGAGCAAGGGGUUUCAGCUCUCACCUGGCUUCUCCCAGUUGAAGAGGGCAGGCAACCUGAACAAGCCAGUAUACCAUUGGGUCAACAAAGCACAAAACACCUGGGCUCAAUGCGCUGAAUUGGUGGGUGCUAAUUAGCUGAGUCUUUAAUGCUUCCCCCUAAUGAGCCUGUAUAAGUACUCUGCAUUGGGCUGCUCAACAGGAGAAGUUGUCCUGAUCCUCCAGAGCUGCUGCUCUCCUAUAGAGGCAGCUGUGCUGCAUGCAGGGCUGGCACCUCAUGCAGGGCUGGUGCUGCAUCAGCUCUGCAGUGCUACCUGGCUGCAAAGUGACCGGAGUCAAAUCCAACAAAACCUGGGGUAGCGUCUGAUGUGCAUGCCACCCACCACCGCUUAUCUCGGCAGCGAAGCAACCAUUGCAAACCAAAAUAACAGCAUCUUCCUCUGUGCCUGCCCUUCAAGCAGUGACAGGCAUGUUUUGGUAUCGCAGACCCCAGGGCGUUAAGCACCAGUCUCGCACCUGCACACUUGCUGAGAAAUGAGGGGUCCUUUGUUAAGGCCGGCGGAUUACAGGCAAGACGGCUCAAGCAACCCUUUCCUGAGGAUCCUCUGGAGGCACCGUCCCACCCCAGCCCAAGCAAGCCUCCAAAAAUGUAAUUUUAGAACAUCUGCAGAAUGAGCAUCUACAGCAAGAGUUCAAAGCAAUGCCAAGCCAGGAAAAUGAGUGUAAAGCAUGAGGCAUCAGCACGGAGCACUGACCUGCACUCCUGGGGAGCCCAGCAGGAGACUAGCAGCCCCUGCAGCUGCCCACAGCUCCUCAACUUCCCAAUGCAAGGACUCUGGCAAGGCCGUGAGAAAACAUGACCUCCACCAUCCCCAAGCACUGCUGGGGACUCCAGCUGCUGGUCCCUUCCUUGCUAUCUGCAGACACUUUCCGGCUCACAAGCUGACACGCGAAGGAUAGCGACAACGACCCUGACGAGUCCCAGGGCGACAGAGGGAAGUGGUUUGAGAGGGGUUUGCUGGAGUCUGUGCACCCAACCAGCCCUCAACCACAUGUUUAGUCUUGUCCCAAUAGCUGUGUCAUUGGCAAACAGAGGACUUCAGCUGGCUACUUUCUCAUGAGCUUUUAAAGAGGGGCAAAAUGGAAAAGAAGCUUUGAGCAGGCAGAGGAAGGAACUCUUGGUUAGCUGGGGGGGAGACAGCCAUCAGCUGUCACACCGUCUGUCUGGCAGCAGCCGGCCAGGCAGCCCCACGCAAGCUUUCCGUCCCAAGCACAUCCUUCCUGGCAGGGAAGGACGCAGGCCCUCAGGAAGCUGCUGCUUCUCCUGCCACACUCAGCAGUGGGGGUCCCAUAGGGCUCCCGGCACCUAAAAUGUGUGCCAGAAAUAGAGCCCAGGAGGUGCUAUAUUUAGUGGAGCAAGUGGUGACUUAGGAAGGGCCCCUCCAGCAGAUGGGCAUGGCCUUGUGAUGGGUCCUGUUCCCCAGGUGAGGAUGCUGUGUUGUACCCAGGGAAACGUGCAGCCAUCUCCUCUCAGGGGAUUGUGGGGCAGUGAGGUGGAACAGAUGUCCCACCUCUGUAAGGAGACUUGGAGAGAAGAGCAUCUAAUUAAGACCACAGCUCCGGUUAAUUGAGCCCAAUUCACCUGUGACAUGAAGAGCCACAAUCCCAUCAGCAAUAAUGGGACUGCAUCGGCUUACACCAGUAAUUACUCCAGAUCAGCAGUAUAACAAAGCUAAUUCAAUACUUCUGCAGGUCCAGCUGCUCAGGCUGCCAGGGGAGUGCUGGAGAUGGCCUCCCUUAUGCCCAGCCCCAACAAGCUGGUGAUGCAGUGCACGCUAGCAAUCCCUGCUGAGUUGUACUGCAGGGUGCUGGCAGGUGACUGUGUGCUUGGGGCCACGCUGGAUGUGGUAGGGUGUCGCGUGAGCUGCUGGCGUGGGCAGACAUGCAAAUUGACAGCUGCACAACUCUGCCAUCAUCGCUACUGCUCCCAUGGGGCUAGGACAAGAGGAUGGGGAUGGGGAUGGGAAGCCU